rnacentral:rRNA from 1 species
AUACGUAGGUGGCAAGCGUUGUCCGGAAUUAUUGGGCGUAAAGCGCGCGCAGGUGGUUCCUUAAGUCUGACGUGAAAGCCCCCGGCUCAACCGGGGAGGGUCAUUGGAAACUGGGGAACUUGAGUGCAGAAGAGGAUAGUGGAAUUCCAAGUGUAGCGGUGAAAUGCGUAGAGAUUUGGAGGAACACCAGGGGCGAAGGCGACUGUCUGGUCUGUAACUGACACUGAGGCGCGAAAGCGUGGGGAGCAAACAGGAUUAGAUACCCUGGUAGUCCACGCCGUAAACGAUGAGUGCUAAGUGUUGGGGGGUUUCCGCCCCUCAGUGCUGCAGCUAACGCAUUAAGCACUCCGCCUGGGGAGUACGGUCGCAAGACUGAAACUCAAAUGAAUUGGCGGGG